GGGGCUGAUAUAGCUUCGACGCGAGGACUUUAACAGGUUAUUUUGCAAGUCGGACGCACACGUUACGUGCACAAUGUAAUUGCAAACAUCAAGCAAUCAGUAGCAUCUAUCGCUAAGCAGCUUUUCGCUGUGCAGCCAGUUGCUGCGCCAGCUUUCGCCUAAACGCCUAAGCCAUCGACUUUCCCCGAGGAAUCAUAGGGGAAGCGGUGUUAUACGUAUGAUUCUUACCCUUUAGUCAGGCAGCUGUGGCAAUUGGGAACACUUUACAGCGCGUUUCUUUAGUCAUUUUCGCCUUUAUUCGAGGCUAAACGGAACGUACUACUCAAUGAAGGCUAUACUUGUAGACGAAUAACAGGUUACCUUUCGGACCCGGGGGCAGUACCCGGCAGCUCCACCA
rnacentral:tmRNA from 1 species